rnacentral:lncRNA from 10 species
AUUUUUAAUCUUUUAGCAUGCACUGAAGAUGCUGAUGUAGAAUUACUUCUUUUUUCUUUUGCUAAAUAACAUGUCAGAAUGGAACAUAGUUAUACAAUUUUGUUUAUGUAAAUAUCAACAAAGCUCUAUCUUCAAAGGCAGGCCACAGAAAUAAGCUGAAAAGAAAGUCAUGUAACACAUCUGUCCAGGACAGUAUUUCAGCACUCUGCAUGUCUCCUCAUUCUGUGCAUGUUGUGUUCACACCUACCAUUUGGGGCCUGUCUCGACAAAGCCACAGUCACCAUUUAGAUAAUUUGAUAAUUGUAUACACCUGGGCUGAGCUACUUGGCUGGUUGGGAUCACCUGGGCUGUGCAAACUGGCUGAUUGCAAUCACCUGGUUUCUGCUAAUUUGCUUAAUUUAUCUCAGCUUCAGGGGUAGAAUACGGAGAUGUCAUCUGACCUACUUUAUUUCUGAGGUUUUUUUUAAGGGUCAUAUGCAGAAAUAAACAUUUCAUAGACAUACCCAUGUGACUCAUUUUGUGUGUAUAUGUUUAUCGAGCCACCUAUUUUGUAUCUAUAUGUACAGAAAGAAGCCUAUAAAAUAAACUUGAUCUGAGGCUAUUUCCAUUUUCUUUACCUACAGGUUAGGUAAAUCAGUCAGCUACUGAGCUCAGUGAAGAUUUAUUCAAACCAAGCCACACACCAUAUUACAUUUUUUCAUAAAUGUAAAAAUAUCUUUAAUAACCUGGAACCUGGGUGUUUUUAAUUCUCAUCCCAUUAAACCAGCCCCAUGAGGUUCUGUUCGUCUAUCUAGGAACUGCCAGAAAUGCUUGACAUCAGUGGGCUGAGCCUUCCUCACAAAGCAGAUUUGACCUGGCAAAUAAGAGCCACCUGUGGCACUUCAGUGAAUGUUCACUAUCACCCAUUUGAAAUGUGGCCAAGUACCAUGUACCAUUAUAUUUGCUUCCAUCAUCAUCAUCAUCUAUCUUCUAAAAAGAGACCUAGACUUCUUUUUCAUUACCAUAAAUACCUGACUUCUGCCUCAAAGACAAAAAGACAAGAGUGUGAUUUUACAUCACACACUCUUGGAAAUAAAUACAGUUCUUGUCUUGAUGAAAGUUCUAAAGAGAAAGAAUAAGUAUUCUCAUAUUUAGGUUAGGACCUUUGGACUGGGGCUGGUUCAUCUCUGACCCUACAUACAACAAUAAAAGAAAAGUCAAUCCUGACAUGGCAGUAAAUAACUCCAAAGGCCUUAGUAAGUAUUCAUCUUCCAGAAGCGCACAACAAAGCCCAGUGCUUCCUUUGAAUAUAUUAAGUGCAGCAGGAUGUAUAUCAGAGCAUUCCUCUAUUUCUGUACUAUUCUAGAUAUAGUAUUCUAUAGGGAAAAG